ACAACUUUGGCUGAAAGAUGCGGACUAAAGAAACAAGGUCUUAUGGACUCAGACCGAAAAAUCUAGGGCUGUCCAAAUGACCUUGGUUUGGCUCAAGGAGUUGGCAAGAACAUUAGGACCAAAAUGCCAAAACCUUGCUUUAGACCUGGACAGGAAGACAUCCAGUGUGUCAAAUUUUGAUCAGAAAGCCCAAAUCCUGGUUUAUGACUCCAGUAUACCAAUAGGACUUUGUCCAAAAGACUAUGACCAAAAAAUCAAGGUCUGGCUUGAAAUUCAGAUGGAAUGACAUCGGCAAGACUUGCCCCCAAAAGACUUACUUGAAGCUCAGGCAGAAGUACUUUGCCCUGGCUUUAAACUAAAACACCCGAACCUCAAGACAGAAUGUAGGUCUGGGUCUAAACUGGGUCAGAUUACCAAUAGACCAAAGUCUUUCUUCACACUUGGAAAGACGUAGCCUCGUUUGAGUCUUGCCCAUAAAACAUCUACAUCUACCUUUAGAGGUUGCCCAAAGGACCAUGUCCAAAAGACCAAGUACUUUGUACUUGGACCAAAAAAGACAGGAAUGGCCAGGCCUAGUGCAUGACUUUCCUCAAAGAAACAGAGGUGGGCUUGGACUAGGAUCAAAAAACAACAAGGCCUUACAUAGAGCCAUGAGCCAAAAAAACGGAACCAAUGGGUCUUACUUUAAGGUCAGACAGAAAGACCAACGGCUGGCUUAUGACUCGUCCUUAAAAGGUCUAUAGUUUGAGACAUUGGCCACAGGACGAGAACCAAGAUACCAUGGUAUUACUAAGGUCUUUAAAUCAAAGACUGGACCAUAAGAAUGAUUUUUAAGAAUUCUCUAUUAAGGAGAAAAAAAAACCUAGAUGUGGCGUCUCCCAAUAACUGUCAGUUCUCCACUAACUACAGUACAUUAACUUUUGUCCAUAAUUCUCCCACAAGAGCAGGACCAACAUUU